rnacentral:sRNA from 1 species
AGGGGUUGCCAUGACAUUUGAUAGGUCUUCAUCCGUAAAUCGCCCAACUCAUCAAAUUGAUUAUUGUAC